rnacentral:ncRNA from 1 species
UUUAUUUGGUUUUGGUUAAAUAAAGGGUUAGUGCAAAAACUAUCAUAAAUUGUUUUUAUUUGAUGUAUUUAGAGGAUAAAUUAAUUGGUUUUAGUGGUGGGUUUUUAAAUAAAAAUGAAAGUUUGUUUAAGUUUGUGCUUCUUUAGGGGCAAACAAUAGGUGCCAGCAGCUGCGGUUAUACCUAUUCUUUGCCUUUAUUUUUUGGGUAAAAUAUAAGUUUUGUUUUUAAAAAAAAUAUUUUUUUUCUGGUUAUAUAGUUAGAUUAAAUUUAUUCUAAAUUUAAAAGUAAAAAUUAUUAAAAUUAUUGUUAAAACCGAGAUUAGGUACCUUGUUAUUAAUGAUUGUAAAUUUUUUUACCCAGAGUAUUUUAAUUAAACUCAAAAAACCUGGCGGUGGAUAUUUCCUUCCAGAGGAGUGUGCUAAGUAAUAGAUAGUCCGCAGAUUAAUAAACUUUUAUUAUUAAAGUCAGUGUACGGCCGCUUUCAGAAAAAUUUUUUAGAAACUAAAAUUUUUCUUUAAUAUUAAAGAUCAAUUAAGACAGGUCAAUGUGCUGCUGAUAUAAAAGGUUGUGGUGCGCUAUUUUAACUUUUGGAAAAAGGAUAAUAAUCUUUAAUGGUUUUUAGAAUUAAGAUUUGGUAGUAAUUAGAAAAAAAUAUGUUUUUAUGAAUUUAGGUAAAUUCUGUGUACACAUCGCCCGUCGUUCUUUUCGAAAGAAAAGAGAAGUCGUAACAUGGUAGCUUUAAUAGAAAUUGAGGCUAU